rnacentral:rRNA from 1 species
UACGUAGGGGGCAAGCGUUGUCCGGAAUCAUUGGGCGUAAAGAGCUCGUAGGCGGUCUGUCGCGUCGGAUGUGAAAACCCAGGGCUCAACCCUGGGCCUGCAUUCGAUACGGGCAGACUAGAGUGUGGCAGGGGAGACUGGAAUUCCUGGUGUAGCGGUGAAAUGCGCAGAUAUCAGGAGGAACACCGGUGGCGAAGGCGGGUCUCUGGGCCGAUAUUGACGCUGAGGAGCGAAAGCGUGGGGAGCGAACAGG